CCUUGUUUGCAUUCAAAUAAUAUGUUGUGAUACAGAUUUACUUAAAAUAACACCAGGGCAACAUAUUUCAUAAUACGCAACUGCUCAAAUACUAUACCGCAAGCAACACAAAACUUUAAUGUGAUACACACUGAAUCAAGAUAAACAGAUUGUUAAAAGUGGAUGUAAAUGAACAGUGAACAACUUAUGUCUUUCAUUGAUCUCAUAGAAUAUAUACAAGUGAAGGGGGCAUGUCCGUACGGACACAACCGUUCAGUUUACAGAACCACCGAAGGGACAUGCCUCUUCAGGGAUUACUAACUGCUAAUCCUAUGAUUAACUGCUAAUCCACUUCUCUAAUCUUGUUGUAUCAACGGAUGAGAUCAUUAGUGAUAAGGUGUCUAUUCACCAACAGACACCGUUUCGCAACACUCCCCCUUGAUCGAAUCUUCCUUUGAGAUCAAUGUAGUUGUAAGCUUAGAUUCCUCGAAAAACCCUGUAGGAAAAAUCUGAGGAAUAUGUAUGUAUGGAUAUGCUGUAAAACUCCUUUAAACCUUUAUAGAAAAACAAGGAGAAGGUAGCAUAUACUUGUGUGAUUUAAACAAACCACUAUGUCAUUGGUAUUCCAAUUAAAAACCCCAGUGGGGAAAAAUAUUGGAGAUACGACAUAAAGAUAACUCCUCUAAAAACCGUUUAGGAAAAAAGUGAGGAGCCAUAUUAAGAGAUAUGUCGCUAAAACUCCUAUAAAAACCCAUUGGGAAAAUCAGGAGAAAAAUAUGACGACAUACUAUAAGUAUUGCCUCUUGAAAUAACUCUCAUGAAAAACCUUUUUCAAGGAAAAACCAUGGAUGAGUUGGGAGGGCAAUGUGUGUCUUUGAUAUUUCCCACAAAAACCCCGGUGGGGAAAAUAGAAAAUAUGACACAUGCUUAUGUUAAUAUUACCUCAUUAAAAACUUUAACAAGAAACCUUUUGAGUAAAACUUGUGAAAGAAAAGAGUAUAAUAUGAUGCUGGUACAUGUGGCAUCUAGGAGAUGUCUCCCCCUGAUUCUGGCAAAUCUCGAAGUCGCCUCAUACCAAUUCCAUGUACCAAUUUUUGAAACACAGAAGUUGGUAAGGACUUAGUAAAUAGGUCAGCGAGGUUAUCACAUGACUUGAUUUGCAAGAUGUUUAUUUCCCCACUUUCUUGUAAUUCAUGGGGAUAAAACAAUUUAGGAACAAUAUGCUUAGUGAUAUUGCUCUUUAUGUAACCUGUUUGCAUCUGUGUAACACAAGCAGAAUUAUCUUCAUAGAUAAUUGUUGGUGAUUCAAUUGAACCAAUACCACAUGACUGUUGUAUGUGGUUAAUCAUUCUGCGAAGCCACACACAUUCUCGUGAUGCCUCGUAUAGAGCAAUAAUUUCAGAAUGAUUAGUAGAGGUGGCUGUCAGAGUCUGCUUAGAAGACUUCCAUGAAAUAGCUGUACCUCCAUGUAGGAAUACAAAUCCUGUUUGGGAUUUUCCGUUAUGAGGAUCAGAUAAGUAACCAGCAUCUGUAUAGCCAAUCAUAUUGGGAUCAUGAUUUUUCUUGAAGAAUAAACCAAGAUCCUUUGUGCCAUUAAGGUAUCUGAGGAUACACUUUGCUCCCGUCCAAUGACGGUGAGUCGGGUCCGCACUAUGUCUAGCUAGUAAGUUCACUGCAAAUGCGAUAUCAGGCCUGGUGCAAUUUGCAAGAUACAUAAGUGCGCCAAUGACACUGAGAUAUGGGAUUUCAGGUCCUAACGUCUUCUCCCCAACAUCCCGUGGUCUAAAUGGAUCUUUCCCUAAUUCUAAGGAACGAACAACCAUCGGGGUUUUAUUAGGGUAUGAUUUAUCCAUAUUGAAUUUCUCCAAUAUUUUCUGGAUAUAGGCUGAUUGAUGCACUAAAAUCCCUAAAGGACGGUGCUCAAUUUGUAAGCCUAGGCAAUAUUUGGUCUUUCCCAAAUCCUUCAUCUCGAAUUCCGUCUUUAGAUGUUUGCGUGCUUCUUCUAUAUCCUUUGGACUGCCAAUGAUAUUUAAAUCAUCAACAUAUACAGAUAUAAUACAAAAUCCCGUUUGAGAUUUCUUAAUGAAAACACAUGGGCAAUCAUCAUUAUUGGUGUAUCCUUUGUUUAAAAGGAAUUCACUCAGUCGGUUGUACCACAUUCGUCCCGACUGCUUCAAGCCAUAUAAUGACUUUUGUAGUUUUACACAAUACAUGUUACGAUUUGCGUUUGGAUUCGGAAUUUGGAUUCCAUCGGGAACCUUCAUAUAUAUGUCCGAAUCAAGUGACCCAUAUAAAUAUGCUGUCACCACAUCCAUCAACUGCAUAGAUAGAUGAUUUUGAACUGCCAAUGAUAUUAAGUAUCGGAAAGUAAUUCCACUCAUUACUGGAGAAUAAGUUUCAUUAUAAUCAAUGCCGGGUCUCUGCGUGAACCCUUGUGCUACGAGCCUUGCUUUAUAUCUCACCACCUCAUUGUUCUCAUUCCGUUUCCGAACGAAAACCCAUUUAAAGCCUACAGGAAAGACUUUGGAGGGUGUGGGCAUAGCUUUUGUGAAUACCCCUCUUUUAGUGAGCGAGGCUAUCUCAGCUUGAAUUGCUUCUUUCCAUUGAGCCCAGUCUGAGCGCUUUUUGCACUCUGCCAUGGUCUUAGGAUCUGGAUCAUUGAGAAAGAUUUCUGCAAUUGCUGCGGAGAAAUACAUGUCUACAACAGUAGUCUUACGAUCGUAUGAUUCACCAGAAUCAAUAUAAUUGAUGGAAAUUUCUUUCACCCCAUUAUUUGACUCAACAUUUCCCAAAACUAUGGAGUCAGGGUGUUCCGAUGUCCCAGGAUCAGAAUUUGGAUGCAUCGUUGAUCCGGGUUGUGGAUUAGGUCCUGGUGUUGGACUUUCAUCCACUAUUGGGUGUCUAGCAACAUGAGGUUGGCUUGGAUUUACUGAUUUGGAGGAUCUAGUCCUCGGUAUCCUCGGACGCUUGCUUUGAGCAUUAUCCUUCGGUGCGGCCGUACUUCUCCCCCUCUUCUUUGGAAGUGGGAGUUGAAUGGUUUUUAUUGGUACCUCCACUCUUUCAGGCGCAUUGCGAGCAGGAUAAGAGGAUUUAGUGACACCCUUAUAAUCAGUAAAUGCUUCUGGCAGGUUAUUUGCAAUAUGUUGCAAGUUUAUGAUUUUCUGAACUUGUUGUUCAGUUUCUUGAGUACGUGGAUCUGAGGGGGAAUUGCCUUGGGCAUUCCAGUUGAUUUCCUGGCAUUCACUUUGGUACUUGAAAUCUCCCCCUAAUGCUGGGAAAUGGUCCUCAUUGAAUAUGCAGUCAGCAUACCGGGCCGUGAAUAAGUCCCCUGUAAGAGGCUCGAGGUAUUUGAUAAUCGAUGGGGAUUGAUAUCCCACAUAGAUACCAAGUUUCCUAUGUGGACCCAUAGAGGUACGCUUAGGUAGUGAGAUCGGUACGUAUACAACGCAACCGAAUUUUCGCAGAUGGGAAAUAUUUGGCAUAUUCCCACGUACUAAUUGCAAUGGGGAGACAACAUGGUAUGCAGUUGGACGCAAUUGAAUUAAGUCAGCAGCGUGUAAGACUGCAUGACCCCAACAUGAAGUUGGUAGAUUGCAAUUUUGUAUUAGUGGUCUUGCAAUGAGUUUAAUUCUUUUAAUAAGAGAUUCUGCUAAACCAUUUUGUGUAUGGACAUAUGGGACAGAGUGCUGAACUUGAAUUCCUAAAGCCAUACAAUAAUCAUUGAAAGCCUUUGAGGAAAAUUCAGCAGCAUUGUCCAUUCGAAUUGAUUGAAUUUGAUGUUCAGGAUUAUGUGCUCUAAGUUUAAUAAGUUGAGCAAUAAUUUUUGCGAAAGCAUGGUUACGUGUGGAUAAAAGACACACAUGAGACCAUCUAGUAGAUGCGUCUAUUAGAACCAUAAAAUACCUGAACGGUCCAGAUGUUGGUUGUAUAGGGCCACAAAUAUCUCCUUGAAUGCGUUCAAGAAAUUUUAGUGGCUCAUUUUGGAUCUUGACGGGCGAUGGACGCAAGAUCAAUUUACCUGUAGCGCACGAAGUGCACAUAAAAUCUGAAGAUUUCGGAAAUUUAGCAGUAUUUAACUCAUGACCAUUUGAAUUGCUGAUAAUUUUCCGCAUCAUCCCUAUACCAGGAUGACCAAGGCAAUCAUGCCAAGUUUUGAAUGCAUCAACAUUCUGGAAAAUUACCUUGUACGCAACAUGUGGUACGGGUUUGAUGUAUGUGUAGUACAAUCCGGACGGAAAAGAGGGAAUUUUCUCAACAAUUUGUUUGCCAUAUCCAUUGUUUUUAGUAACAAGGAGAAUUUCCUCAUUAUUGUCAUCAAGGGUUUCUACAUGGAAACCAUUUUGACGGAUAUCUCUAUAACUUAAUAAGGUACGCUUUGAAUCGGGAUAUAAUAAUGCAUCCUCAAUUGUAAUUUGGGUACCCAUAGGGAGUACGAUAAUGGCACGACCUGAACCAAUUAUCGUAGCAUCGCGCCCAGCGAUUGUCAAAACAUUUCCUUGUCUUUUAGUAAGAGUUUGGAAAUAUUUUGUUUCCCUAAGAAUAGAAUUAGUGGUACCGCUGUCCACUAGGCAUAAUUCCUCUUCCAUCAGAUCGACCCCCGUAGAAACUAUAUAUAAAUAAAGAAUUUGAUAUAAAACUCUCUGAUAAUAUAUAGAAUACAUACUUUAUUUAUUGAAUAUCAAAUGUGUACAAUACAUUUAUUGGAUAUCCAAACUAAGUAGUGAUGAUAUCAUUAAAUAUUUACAACACAUAGGACAUAAAUUGUGUUUAUUAUUACAAUCACUAGAACAUAAAGACAUUAGAAUCUAAGGGAUUGGGAGCCUAGUGAAAGUCUCCAAAUAUGUCGUUGGAUGCAUAUUCCACGAUCAUAUUCCCUGUAUCAGCAAGAUCCUCGCCUCCUCGUAUGAUGUUGUUGCUUGGUUCCUCAGGAACUUGUUGCGAACAACCAGCCUCUUCCCUGGUGGUGUCAGGUCGAAGAUUGAAAUGGGCUUCAUACUUCUGUCCUGGUGUAGCUCGUCCACGACCCACAGACUUUAAGUAAAGAUCAACUAGAUGACUUGGGGUACGACAUUUCUUUGUAGUAUGGUUAUAACAACCACAUUUUUGACACACAGGUUUAUCAUCCCUGUUCUUGGAAAUGUUCUUACCCUUUUUGUAAGGUUUACCUUUGUUGGAGUCACCUUUUUGGGGCUUCUUAUUGCGUCUGCGCUUGUUUUUACCCUUCUUGGAGUUUCCUUGUUGAUAGUUCUUUUUAGAUCUAUCAUUAGACAUGGGUUUAUUCUGAGUAUAUGCAUGUACUUCAGGCAAUGGAGCAGACCCAACAGGGCGCUGCUGAUUAUUCCAAACCAUAAGUUCAGAAUGUUUUUCGGCCUCAAGUAAAGUUUGGAUAAGCUCUGAAUAAACUUGGAAACGUCUUUCACGGUAUUGUUGUUGAAGAAUCCUUUCAGAGGGAAGCAUAGUAGACAAAGUCUUUUCUAUCUUAUCCGCAUCUGUAGGUUCUUUCUCGCAGAAUUGCAACUUUGAGCAAAUCCUAUGGACAGCAUGAUUGUAGUCACUCACAGUUUUGAAAUCCUGUAAGCGAAGUUGCGUCCACUCAUAGUUGGCCGCGGGCAAGACAAGUGCCUUUUGCUGUUCAUAGCGUUGCUUAAGUGAAGUCCAUAGAUUGUGUGGAUUUUCUUCCAACAAAUAUUCAGCCUUAAGAUCAGGGUGAAUGUGGCUCCUAAUAAGGUAUAGGGCUGUAUAAACGUGUUGAUCUUCAAGCGGUGCAACCCCAUCUUCGGGUGGUAACACAGCUCGAUAAAGUCCACGGGACGAAAGACUAACUUUUACGUCUAUAGCCCAUGUGGGAUAAUUGUGGCCGUCUAGAGCUAGUAAUUCAAACUCUUUGACAGUCAUUGAUCCUACAUGAUAUAAAAACCAUCGAAAUAUUUUAAGUUAUUAAAAUGUUGAGGUGUGUUGUAAUUAUGGGAUGCAAAUUAAAAACAAGAUAAAUCUUGUAUCGGUAAUGGUGUAAAAUUCUUAUAUGCAUAAUAAAAUAAUGGAGGUAGUCACCAAACAAAAGGGUGUAGACCUCUAAUUGGGCAUAUUAUGUGUAAAUAAUAGAUGCCAAUUAAUUAUGCAAGUUGUAUAACGCGUCUGAAGGUAGUCAUCAAGAAUUGAUGUAGACCUUAAUUUAAUUUGCAAACGAAUUGGGUACGCACGUUGAGGAUAGUCACUAAGUAGUAUACUUAGUGUAGAUCCCACAGUAGCAACAAUGGUGCUACCUUGUGUAUGGCCAAUAGGGAUGCAAAUUAAUGGUAGUCAUCUUUGGAAAAAGAUGUAGACCAAAUGUUCUAAGUGUAAUGUUGGGUACGCACGUUGAGGAUAGUCACUAAGUAUUGUUUAGUGUAGAUCCCGCAGUAGCAACUAUGGUGCUACCUUGUGGAGUGGCCAACAAAACGACUCUAAAACAUGCGUGUUAUAUAACUGUUAAGAAAAUUACACAUAAAUUGUCGCAUCCAUUAUUUAAGCGUGUAGUGCUUUAAAGUUAAAAGCGUAAAGGAACUUAAAUAAAAAAAAAUGAUCGAUUGCGAAAUAAAUAAAUAGUUGCAAGAUCAUGGUCACAAUAACAAGGAUAUUAUUUAUUGGAUUUGUCAUUCAUACCGGGACAAACAUUUUGAAUAAUAUCACAAAUAGAUAUUUUAUAACAAUAUAAAAUAUCACAAAUACAACUAUAGUUAAAAGUCUGGAACUAAACAUAUAGGAGUACUAUUUUUACAACAAAUAAUUAUACGAGACCACAACAGAGUCAUAUACGAAUUAUUGCUGAAAAUAAAUAAGAUGAAUAAACAAGUAGCCUGCUGUGCCAAAUUAGAGUUCAAGUGAAUUUGAAAUGGGCACAGCAGCCUGUGCGAGCGUGCAAGUGGAGACUGGAGGCAGGGCGUAGGCCUUCAUGGGCUGGCCCAUUUGCUGGAGCAGCACAUAUAUAUACGGGGCUGGAACGGGCAGCUAGGGUUGAAAUCCAACCACACGCCGCCGUAUAGCCUGAAGACCACCGCCGCCACUUUAUCUGGAUGUUGGUGCCGCUGCUCCCUUCCACUGCGCCGCCGCUGCUGCAGUUCUUCAGUUCGAGGAAGACUCCCCCUCAUCAGGGGAGUAGAAGCCGCUGCCGUUCACCAACUCGUUGAGGGUCGCCGCAGACGGGAGGCCGUGCGUCGCCGGGUUCCGCGAUCCUCUGCGGAUCCCAGGGCGCCGGUCCACUGCAGCCACGCUACGACCCAGAAGGCGCCGGAUCGACGGAGUUGUUGUGGUUGUGCCUUCGGUCGGAGUUGGGGGCGCCGCCGGGAGGGCCUGCGCAGCCAUGCGUGCCGCAGCCUCCGCGCGUGUCGCUGGUGGAGGAGGAGCCGAGGGCCCGGCCCUGUCGAGGAAGAAGUACGGCGAGAUGCCGGUCCUCGCAGCGGUGUUGAAGAUGUCGCCGAGAUUGAAGAGGUUGCCGACGCCGGGCGCAGCCACCACAUCGACCUCGUCCUCGACCUUCACUGCAUCGAGCGCAGGGGCAGCCUGCGUGUUCAGGAACCACGGAUCCAGUGGGGGAACGCCAUUGCCUGGCGCCAUUGGAGUCGGAGGAGUGGGCGUCGGCAUCAGCGUGUGCGGGAUCGACGUGUACUCCUUGCAGAAGUCGCACCAGUAGCGCGACGGUGCCGGUACUGGCGACAUGGGCUCCAUCGGCAUGUAGGAUGGAGUUGGAGCAGCGGCGGGCAUCAUCUCCACGGCUUCAGCAAGCGGCAUCGGGGCUUCGACGAUUGGUGGCGCCGCGACUUCAACAGCGGGCGGCGCCGUGUUGCUGGGGCCGGCACCGUCCGCGCCAAGGCGAGGAGACGGUGGCUGGCUCUGCAGAGGGCGAUCUUGCGGCGAAGCGAUGCGGCCACGACGAAUCGGGGACCAACGGCGACGGUGGACAUCUGCACGGACGUCACGAACAGCCGAGUCGAAGAUGCGGCCGUAUGGACCAUGGCCAUGGCCAUGGGCAGCAGUGCGGCGGAGACGAGGCCCAAGGCGCUCGAAAACACUGCGGCGCUGUCCAUGGUGGCCGUGGUGACGGAUCGGGCCACGACGGACUCCACCAACGCGACGGAGAGCGAAGAACAAUCCACGAGCAAUGUGUGAAGGUAAAUCGACAUUGAUUCGCGCCAUAGGGCUUACCAGUGGUCGGUACAGAGGCAUGGAUUGCCUCUGUUCGUCGUUCUCCUUCCGUAGAGCAAAAGUGCUGAUAACGUGUUAAAAGUGGAUGUAAAUGAACAGUGAACAACUUAUGUCUUUCAUUGAUCUCAUAGAAUAUAUACAAGUGAAGGGGGCAUGUCCGUACGGACACAACCGUUCAGUUUACAGAACCACCGAAGGGACAUGCCUCUUCAGGGAUUACUAACUGCUAAUCCUAUGAUUAACUGCUAAUCCACUUCUCUAAUCUUGUUGUAUCAACGGAUGAGAUCAUUAGUGAUAAGGUGUCUAUUCACCAACAGACACCGUUUCGCAACACAGAUAACAUAAGCCAAGUUUCAUCUGAAUUAUAGUGGAAGAAAGUUAUGUUUAGUGAUUUUGUAAGGAUACUUAUGCAUCUUUGCAUUCAAAAGAGGGUGUCUAUCGAUAUCAUGCAUAAUAAUAUAAACCCACUUUCAUAAUUUUCAAUAAUAUCAAAAUAACUAAGAGGUUUAGAAAGACGCAUACAUUGUUUUUGGGGAAAAAAGUAUGCUUUUAUAGACAUAAAUAGUAAAGAACUUGGCUAUAGCGCCUUGACAACAAAGGAACU
rnacentral:lncRNA from 1 species